UACGUAGGGUGCAAGCGUUAAUCGGAAUUACUGGGCGUAAAGCGUGCGCAGGCGGUUGUGUAAGUCUGUCGUGAAAUCCCCCGGGCUCAACCUGGGAAUUGCGAUGGAGACUGCACGGCUAGAGUGUGUCAGAGGGGGGUAGAAUUCCACGUGUAGCAGUGAAAUGCGUAGAUAUGUGGAGGAACACCGAUGGCGAAGGCAGCCCCCCUGGGAUAACACUGACGCUCAUGCACGAAAGCGUGGGGAGCAAACAGG
rnacentral:rRNA from 1 species